UCCGAAUCCGGAAUGCCCUCAUAAAAUUAAAUGAUAAAACCUCUCGGUCUCGGCCAAUUGUUCUGUUCUCCUCAAGCACCGACUGUCAAAGCAUAAACCGCCCCUUUUAUCGCCAUGGAGAACUUAUUGGGUUGUUGGUUUCACCAGCUCCUCUCCUUCUACAUAUCCAUCAACGCCACCAUUCUUCGAAACAUUUUUAACCCCCUCAUCCACUUCAAAUGGCAACCAAUCUUCGUCCCCUUGCUCGAUUCAAUCUUAUCCGUCUAUUUUCGCUAUUGCCAUCUCCAACCCUGCACCCUGGACCUGGAUAUGCAAACCACCCUGCACUUUUGGACCCCUGCUCACCGGAAAAUCAACAAGCCCAAUCUGGUUUUAGUCCACGGCUUCGGGGGCAACUCAAAGUUUCAGUUCCUAUUCCAAAUCGGCACAUUGGCCCGAUCCUUCAACCUCUACAUACCCGACCUCCUGUUCUUCGGGAAAUCCUACACCCGCAGCCCCGACCGGACGGACGCUUUCCAGGCGAAGUGCUUAAGUGAAGGCUUGAGAAGAUUGGGUGUGGACAGGUACUCCAUUUACGGGAUCAGUUACGGGGGCUAUGUGGCUUAUCGGACGGCUGCCAUGUCUUCUGAAGCUGUGGAUAAAGUCGUUAUACUGAGCAGCGGAAUCGGGAUGACGGAAGAUCAAAAGGAGGAGCAUCUCAGGAAUAUAGGAAGGAAUGCUGUGGACAUACUCCUGCCUCGGAAACCGGCGGAUCUACGGUUGUUAGUGACUCUGUCUUUAUGCAACUGCAAUUUUAUCAACUGGGUCCCAGAUUAUUUCCUCCGGGAGUUCAUCACCGUGAUGUGCAACACCAUCAGGAAAGAGAAAAGUGAGCUAGUGGAACACUUGUUAGCAAAGAAAGCAGAUAGCAGUCUUCCAAUUUUAGAUCAGAUUAGGUGUGUGUGUGUUUCCAGAGAAAUUAAGAACAGUGAUAUAUCCGCUAGCUUGUCAAGCAUGCAUUACAUUUUAGGAUGAGAGGCGAUCACAUAUGAUAUGAUCUCUUUCUUCGUGAUUAAGGGAACAUUGCUUAUCUGGGGUGACAAGGACAUGGUUUUCCCUCUUGUUUGCGGACGUGAAUUGCAUAGACAUUUGGGGUCAAAGGCAAAGAUGGAAAUACUUGAGAACGCCGGGCAUGCAGCAAACCUGGAAUCCUCGUACUUGGUGAAUGAAUCCAUCAAAGCAUUUCUAUUGAAUUGCUCCGCAAAACGAGGAGGUUGUACGCUAGUAGAAAGACAGAGAUCCUCGACGAAUGGCUUGCAUUUACUAAAUGCACAUUUCACGGGUGCAUAGUAUUAAAUUUGACAGAAGGAGAAUUGACAGAGAUCACAGAACAAGUGCCUUAUUUAUUGGAGUAGCAUAUAUAUAGUCAGUAGUGAUUGUCGCUGCGAAGUACCCUUUCCCUUUGGCUGGCCAAUUACUCAGGUUCAAUCAAGGAUUUAAACUGUAACACUAGUACUAUUCAGCUCAUCGUUGUGUCACAACCCCCCAAUGAAACUCAUUACUAUUUGCGUUUCUUACAAGACUAUAUAUGUUAAAUGCCGCAUAUCGGGGAGAUUAUAGAUAUUUCUAUUAUAACUG